rnacentral:lncRNA from 1 species
GUGUUCUCUGGAAAGACUGCCUUCCUGUCUUAAUUUUUAUCAAACAGUAUCCAGUUUUUAGUUCUACUUGGAGGGAAGGUUCUUUUUUCAGUUCACUUGGGCUUGAGUCCAAGACUUUGGGAACAAGCCUCUGUUAUCAAGGUCACUGGAGAAUGACUGAUAAGCUCAAGGCCAAUGUGUCUGUUCCACUUGUUCCCAGGAAGGGAGGACCCCACUGGGUCAGAACUAUCACUAUCUUCCAGCAUGUCGGGUGGGCAUAGGCUCAAGACAAGGAAUUUGGGAAUACACCCUGCAUUCUGAUGGACCAGCUGGUGCAACCCAGACUGGGAAUCCAUACAACGAAACUGGCUUACCUGGUCUUGUGAUCCUCACCCAGGAACUGACUCAACAUGAGAAGACAGCUUUGACCCCCUAUGAUUUCACUCUCAACCCACCAAUCAGCAUUCCCCAUUCCCUAGCCCCCACUUACCACUAAACUGUCCUUGAAAAACCCUAGUCUUUGAAUUUUGGAGGAGGCUGAUUUGAGUAAUAAACUCCCAUCCUUCAGCUUG